rnacentral:rRNA from 1 species
AUUGAACGCUGGCGGCAGGCCUAACACAUGCAAGUCGAACGAGUGGCGGACGGGUGAGUAAUGUCUGGGAAACUGCCCGAUGGCGGGGGAUAACUACUGGAAACGGUAGCUAAUACCGCAUACCAUCGGAUGUGCCCAGAUGGGAUUAGCUAGUAGGUGGGGUAACGGCUCACCUAGGCGACGAUCCCUAGCUGGUCUGAGAGGAUGACCAGGCACAAUGGGACUUGGAAACGGCCCAGAAUCCUACGGGAGGCAGCAGUAGGGAAUGUUGGACAAUGGGCGAAAGCCUGAGGAAGCAACGCCGCGUGUGUGAAGAAGGCCUUCGGGUUGUAAAGCUCUUUGGGCGAGGAGGCGGUAACCGAAGAAGAAGCCCCGGCUAACUACGUGCCAGCAGCCGCGGUAAGAC